rnacentral:rRNA from 1 species
GACGAACGCUGGCGGCGUGCUUAACACAUGCAAGUCGAACGGUGAAGCGCCUUCCUUUUUGGUGGGUGUGGAUGAGUGGCGAACGGGUGAGUAACACGUGAGUAACCUGCCCCCUUCUUCUGGAUAACCGCAUGAAAGUGUGGCUAAUACGGGAUAUUCUGGGUCUGUCGCAUGAUGGGUCUGGGAAAGAUAUUGUUUCGGUGGGGGAUGGGCUCGCGGCCUAUCAGCUUGUUGGUGGGGUGAUGGCCUACCAAGGCGGUGACGGGUAGCCGGCCUGAGAGGGUGGACGGUCACACUGGGACUGAGACACGGCCCAGACUCCUACGGGAGGCAGCAGUGGGGAAUAUUGCACAAUGGGCGCAAGCCUGAUGCAGCGACGCCGCGUGAGGGAUGGAGGCCUUCGGGUUGUGAACCUCUUUCGCAAGUGAAGCAGGCCUGCCUCGUUUGUGGGUGGGUUGACGGUAGCUGGAUAAGAAGCGCCGGCUAACUACGUG